UCAUAUAGAAGAUAUUGCUAGUCAUAAUAUUUCAUAGCACAAAUAUGAGUUAUUUUUCAUAUCUUAUAAUUAAGAUAAUUCAAUUGAUCCCAAUUAUAAACAUUCACUGAAAUUCAAAGCAUAUAAAUAUAUAUAGUCAAAAUGUAACUGAAAAUAUAGGUGUCCCAAUACAUAUGAGUCAACUCAAAAUACAAAAGUCAUGGAUAACAACUAUCCAAGAGUCAAUCAGCUAACAAAUACAAAGGCUAUAAGAUAAAUCCUAGACAUAAAAGACUAACUAUUCUAGAUCUAAUAUAUAUCAUGGCUGGAGG
rnacentral:lncRNA from 1 species